GUGGAUGGGCCAGGCUAGUGAACCAAGCCAAGUACAAAUUGUUAAAGCAUUGUUAGGAUCUAGGGAUGCUAUGCUUGAGAUCAGGUGUUGGUUUAAUAAUAUUAGUACCACGUAGCAACUCUAUUGUCUUUGUGUAUUGAUUUUGGCAUUAAGUGCCUCUUAUGACCUAUUUGCUUCAUUUUCCUGACUUGCUAUUAUUUUUAAAUAUGUGCAGGAAGACUGCUUCUACGACCUGUCUUAUAAUACUGGGUAUCAAAUUUUCGUACUACGUUUACGGAAGACAAGGGACGAAAUUAUGAAGUGUACUCUCUCUCUAUAUAUGUAGAUAUAUACUUUGAUUGAAGAACUAUGAUAGUUUUAGAUGGUUAAUUGUAAAGAUAAUGAAUGAUUAUGUAGUGGAU
rnacentral:lncRNA from 1 species